rnacentral:rRNA from 1 species
UGCCUACGGGAGGCAGCAGUAGGGAAUCUUCCACAAUGGACGAAAGUCUGAUGGAGCAACGCCGCGUGAGUGAAGAAGGGUUUCGGCUCGUAAAUCUCUUGUGGUAGUGAAGAAAGAUAGAGGUAGUAACUGGCCUUUACUUGACGGUAAUUACUUAGAAAGUCACGGCUAACUACGUGCCAGCAGACGCGGUAAUACGUAGGUGGCAAGCGUUGUCCGGAUUUAUUGGGCGUAAAGCGAGUGCAGGCGG